rnacentral:rRNA from 1 species
CCUACGGGAGGCAGCAGUGGGGAAUAUUGCACAAUGGGGGAAACCCUGAUGCAGCGACGCCGCGUGAGUGAAGAAGUAUUUCGGUACGUAAAGCUCUAUCAGCAGGGAAGAAAAUGACGGUACCUGACUAAGAAGCCCCGGCUAACUACGUGCCAGCAGCCGCGGUAAUACGUAGGGGGCAAGCCUUAUCCGGAUUUACUGGGUGUAAAGGGAGCGUAGACGGCAGCGCAAGUCUGGAGUGAAAUCCCAUGGCUUAACCAUGGAACUGCUUUGGAAACUGUGCAGCUAGAGUGCAGGAGAGGUAAGCGGAAUUCCUAGUGUAGCGGUGAAAUGCGUAGAUAUUAGGAGGAACACCAGUGGCGAAGGCGGCUUACUGGACUGUAACUGACGUUGAGGCUCGAAAGCGUGGGGAGCAAACAGGAUUAGAUACCCCUGUAGUC